GGUUCAAAUCAGUUUCAGUUCUGAUUAGAUUUAAGAAUUUGGCAUAAAACUUUGAAUAUUUUUAAAGAAAUUUCUAUCAAAAUGGUUCUCCCAAAAAAGGCCUUUCCAACUUUUUAUGCGGCCAACGUCCAAUUAAUACAUAGUAGAGGAGAGUAGAGGAGUACAAAACGAAUCGAAUCGACCAGAUAUACAUCUUCUUGGAUAUAACAUACACUAGACGACGACGCACAAUCGAAAGAGUCAACUAUGUACGAGGCGGGUAAAUGGAGAGAUCUCUCAGGCAAUAAAUACAUAAAAGUCAAAGAUGUGUGCACAAAAGAGGGAACAGAGGCGUAACCAGAGAGGGGCAGCCACAUCCACUCCGCUGGAUGCUGCACAUCG
rnacentral:sRNA from 1 species